rnacentral:misc_RNA from 1 species
GAGGAAGAAAAUAGUGAAAGAAAAUAAACUGAUAAAAGAAUCUAGAUUUUUUUUUAAUAAGAAAUUUCAAGAAGCUCAACAGGAUUUUAGUACAAUCCAUAAUUAUUUCAAGAACUUCAAGAAAUAGGGAACCAAAACUAGAAAUAGAGAAUGGAAUCCCUUAGAAUGAAUUGAGAACGAAAUUAAUUAAGAAAAGAGAUAGAAAGAGAGAAAAGAAUCAAA